rnacentral:rRNA from 1 species
GACGAACGCUGGCGGCGUGCUUAACACAUGCAAGUCGAGCGGAAAGGCCCUUCGGGGUACUCGAGCGGCGAACGGGUGAGUAACACGUGAGUAAUCUGCCCUUGGCUUUGGGAUAACUACCGGAAACGGUGGCUAAUACCGGAUACGACAACCGUCUGCAUGGGCUGGUUAUGGAAAGUUUUUUCGGCCAGGGAUGUGCUCGCGGCCUAUCAGCUUGUUGGUGGGGUAAUGGCCUACCAAGGCUUCGACGGGUAGCCGGCCUGAGAGGGUGACCGGCCACACUGGGACUGAGACACGGCCCAGACUCCUACGGGAGGCAGCAGUGGGGAAUAUUGGACAAUGGGCGGAAGCCUGAUCCAGCAACGCCGCGUGAGGGAUGACGGCCUUCGGGUUGUAAACCUCUUUCAGUACCGACGAAGCGCCGAUGAUGGUGGUGACGGUAGGUACAGAAGAAGCACCGGCCAACUACGUG